rnacentral:rRNA from 1 species
CCCGCACAAGCGGUGGAGCAUGUGGUUUAAUUCGACGCAACGCGAAGAACCUUACCAGGACUUGACAUCCCCUGACCGCGUAUGAAAGUACGUUUCACCUCGGGUGACAGGGAGACAGGUGGUGCAUGGUUGUCGUCAGCUCGUGUCGUGAGAUGUUGGGUUAAGUCCCGCAACGAGCGCAACCCUCGACCUUAGUUGCCAGCAUUCAGUUGGGCACUCUAAGGUGACUGCCGGCUAAAAGUCGGAGGAAGGUGGGGAUGACGUCAAAUCAUCAUGCCCCUUAUGACCUGGGCUACACACGUGCUACAAUGGGCGGUACAAAGGGUCGCGAACCCGCGAGGGGGAGCCAAUCCCAAAAAGCCGCUCUCAGUUCGGAUUGCAGGCUGCAACUCGCCUGCAUGAAGCCGGAAUCGCUAGUAAUCGCGGAUCAGCAUGCCGCGGUGAAUACGUUCCCGGGCCUU